GGGCGUUAAGUUGCAGGGUAUAGACCCGAAACCCGGUGAUCUAGCCAUGGGCAGGUUGAAGGUUGGGUAACACUAACUGGAGGACCGAACCGACUAAUGUUGAAAAAUUAGCGGAUGACCUGUGGCUGGGGGUGAAAGGCCAAUCAAACCGGGAGAUAGCUGGUUCUCCCCGAAAGCUAUUUAGGUAGCGCCUCGUGAAUUCAUCUCCGGGGGUAGAGCACUGUUUCGGCUAGGGGGCCAUCCCGGCUUACCAACCCGAUGCAAACUGCGAAUACCGGAGAAUGUUAUCACGGGAGACACACGGCGGGUGCUAACGUCCGUCGUGAAGAGGGAAACAACCCAGACCGCCAGCUAAGGUCCCAAAGUCAUGGUUAAGUGGGAAACGAUGUGGGAAGGCCCAGACAGCCAGGAUGUUGGCUUAGAAGCAGCCAUCAUUUAAAGAAAGCGUAAUAGCUCACUGGUCGAGUCGGCCUGCGCGGAAGAUGUAACGGGGCUAAACCAUGCACCGAAGCUGCGGCAGCGACGCUGAUGCGUUGUUGGGUAGGGGAGCGUUCUGUAAGCCUGCGAAGGUGGCCUGUGAGGGUUGCUGGAGGUAUCAGAAGUGCGAAUGCUGACAUAAGUAACGAUAAAGCGGGUGAAAAGCCCGCUCGCCGGAAGACCAAGGGUUCCUGUCCAACGUUAAUCGGGGCAGGGUGAGUCGACCCCUAAGGCGAGGCCGAAAGGCGUAGUCGAUGGGAAACGGGUUAAUAUUCCCGUACUUGGUGUUACUGCGAAGGGGGGACGGAGAAGGCUAUGUUGGCCGGGCGACGGUUGUCCCGGUUUAAGCGUGUAGGUGUGUGUUCCAGGUAAAUCCGGUUCACUUUAACACUGAGGCGUGAUGACGAGGCACUACGGUGCUGAAGCAACAAAUGCCCUGCUUCCAGGAAAAGCCUCUAAGCAUCAGGUAACAUCAAAUCGUACCCCAAACCGACACAGGUGGUCAGGUAGAGAAUACCAAGGCGCUUGAGAGAACUCGGGUGAAGGAACUAGGCAAAAUGGUGCCGUAACUUCGGGAGAAGGCACGCUGACACGUAGGUGAAGUGAUUUACUCAUGGAGCUGAAGUCAGUCGAAGAUACCAGCUGGCUGCAACUGUUUAUUAAAAACACAGCACUGUGCAAACACGAAAGUGGACGUAUACGGUGUGACGCCUGCCCGGUGCCGGAAGGUUAAUUGAUGGGGUCAGCGCAAGCGAAGCUCCUGAUCGAAGCCCCGGUAAACGGCGGCCGUAACUAUAACGGUCCUAAGGUAGCGAAAUUCCUUGUCGGGUAAGUUCCGACCUGCACGAAUGGCGUAAUGAUGGCCAGGCUGUCUCCACCCGAGACUCAGUGAAAUUGAACUCGCUGUGAAGAUGCAGUGUACCCGCGGCAAGACGGAAAGACCCCGUGAACCUUUACUAUAGCUUGACACUGAACAUUGAGCCUUGAUGUGUAGGAUAGGUGGGAGGCUUUGAAGUGUGGACGCCAGUCUGCAUGGAGCCGGCCUUGAAAUACCACCCUUUAAUGUUUGAUGUUCUAACGUGGACCCGUGAUCCGGGUUGCGGACAGUGUCUGGUGGGUAGUUUGACUGGGGCGGUCUCCUCCUAAAGAGUAACGGAGGAGCACGAAGGUUGGCUAAUCCUGGUCGGACAUCAGGAGGUUAGUGCAAUGGCAUAAGCCAGCUUGACUGCGAGCGUGACGGCGCGAGCAGGUGCGAAAGCAGGUCAUAGUGAUCCGGUGGUUCUGAAUGGAAGGGCCAUCGCUCAACGGAUAAAAGGUACUCCGGGGAUAACAGGCUGAUACCGCCCAAGAGUUCAUAUCGACGGCGGUGUUUGGCACCUCGAUGUCGGCUCAUCACAUCCUGGGGCUGAAGUAGGUCCCAAGGGUAUGGCUGUUCGCCAUUUAAAGUGGUACGCGAGCUGGGUUUAGAACGUCGUGAGACAGUUCGGUCCCUAUCUGCCGUGGGCGCUGGAGAACUGAGGGGGGCUGCUCCUAGUACGAGAGGACCGGAGUGGACGCAUCACUGGUGUUCGGGUUGUCAUGCCAAUGGCACUGCCCGGUAGCUAAAUGCGGAAGAGAUAAGUGCUGAAAGCAUCUAAGCACGAAACUUGCCCCGAGAUGAGUUCUCCCUGAGACUUAGAGUCUCCUGAAGGAACGUUGAAGACGACGACGUUGAUAGGCCGG
rnacentral:rRNA from 1 species